rnacentral:rRNA from 1 species
CAGCGCUGCAAGUGGCGAUCGUGUUUAUUUGGCCUAAAGCGUCCGUAGCUGGUUAAGCAAAUCUUUUGUGAAAUUGUUCAGCUCAACUGAACAGCGUGCAGGAGACACUACUUAACUAGGGACCGGGAGGAGCUAGAGAUAUGCUGGGGGGAGCGGUAAAAUGCUAUAAUCCUCAGUAGAUCACCUGUGGCGAAGGCGUCUAGCUAGAACGGGUCCGACAGUGAGGGACGAAAGCCAGGGGAGCAAACCGGAUUAGAGACCCGAGUAGUCC